rnacentral:tRNA from 1 species
AAGGGUAUAGUUCAAAUGGUAGAGCACAUGCUUAGCAUGCAUGAGGUCCUGGGUUCAAUCCCUGGUACCUUCU